rfam:Hordeum vulgare subsp. vulgare, WGS project CAJW01000000 data, contig: morex_contig_206905
CAUAUACUCCCACCGUCCGGAAUUACUUAUUGCAAAAAUGGAUAAAAAUGAUUGUAUCUAGAACUAAAAUACAUCUAGAUACAUACAUUCCUAUGACAAGUAUUUCCGGACAGAGGGAGUACUUC